rnacentral:rRNA from 1 species
UAAUACAGAGGGUGCGAGCGUUAAUCGGAAUUACUGGGCGUAAAGCGCACGUAGGUGGCUUGACAAGUCGGUUGUGAAAGCCCCGGGCUCAACCUGGGAACUGCAUCCGAGACUGUCUUGCUAGAGUAUGGGAGAGGGAAGUGGAAUUUCCGGUGUAGCGGUGAAAUGCGUAGAUAUCGGAAGGAACAUCAGUGGCGAAGGCGACUUCCUGGACCAAUACUGACACUCAAGUGCGAAAGCGUGGGGAGCAAACAGGAUUAGAUACCCUGGUAGUCCACGCCAUAAACGAUGAGAACUGGAUGUCGGGAGGGUCUGCCUCUCGGUGUCGUAGCUAACGCGUUAAGUUCUCCGCCUGGGGAGUACGGCCGCAAGGUUG